rnacentral:rRNA from 1 species
AUUUUCCGCAAUGGGCGAAAGCCUGACGGAGCAAUACCGCGUGAGGGAGGAAGGCUCUUGGGUUGUAAACCUCUUUUCUCAGGGAAGAACAAAAUGACGGUACCUGAGGAAUCAGCAUCGGCUAACUCCGUGCCAGCAGCCGCGGUAAUACGGAGGAUGCAAGCGUUAUCCGGAAUGAUUGGGCGUAAAGCGUCCGCAGGUGGCUUAUCAAGUCGAUUGUCAAAGGUCCUGGCUCAACUGGGAAGAGGCAGUGGAAACUGAAAAGCUAGAGUGCGGUAGGGGUAGAGGGAAUUCCCGGUGUAGCGGUGAAAUGCGUAGAGAUCGGGAAGAACACCAGUGGCGAAAGCGCUCUACUAGGCCUGCACUGACACUCAUGGACGAAAGCUAGGGGAGCGAAU